rnacentral:rRNA from 1 species
UACGGAGGUGGCAAGCGUUGCUCGGAAUCACUGGGCGUAAAGGGCGCGUAGGCGGGGAGGUAAGUCGGGUGUGAAAUCUUGGAGCUUAACUCCGAAACUGCAUUCGAUACUGCCGUGCUUGAGGACUGGAGAGGAGACUGGAAUUUACGGUGUAGCGGUGAAAUGCGUAGAUAUCGUAAGGAAGACCAGUGGCGAAGGCGGGUCUCUGGACAGUUCCUGACGCUGAGGCACGAAGGCCAGGGGAGCAAACGGG